rnacentral:lncRNA from 1 species
UUCCCCUCCCCAUUUCCCAUUUCCCAUUUCCCAUUUCCCGACCCCGUGUAUCUGUAAAUCCCUAACCCCUUCCCUCCGCCCUUUUUUUCCCCCAAAUCGAAAACCCACCUCCAUCGAUCCACCAUUCCACCUCCGGUGUCCGGUCCUCCACGACUCCACCUCCGCUCUAGCCUUCAACGUCUUCUACCUUUGAAUUUCAAAGGUAAGUUUGCUGUUAACCCUAUUUCCUGUUAACGGUUUUCUAAUUUUUCAACGUCAUCUCCCCUUUUUGCUUUUUGAUUUUGAUUGUGAUUUUGAUUUUUUCUGUUAACGGUUUUCUGAUUUUGAUUUUGAGACACUGAAUAUUGGGGGGAUUUUGGUUGUGUUUACACUUUACAUAUUGUUCUAUUUUUUUUUAGUUCUUUUGCGGAUUAAUGUGAUUUUCUUUUCUUGAAUGAUGAUUGUUCUUUUGUUGCAAAUUUGUUCUUUUAUUAAAACCGAAAAAGGAAGAAAAUCAAUAGAAUUGGAUUUAAGGUUUAUGGAAUCUGAAAAAACUGAAAAAGCAGGUUGUUCUCGAAUCAUCUGUGGCACUUGCUCUUAGCCUCGAUAAGUUCACGGGACAAAGCCGAGAAUAAUGAUUAGGAUCUUUAAGGGAAUUAUUAAGGAAAUUAGUAAUUGAUUAAAAGUUAGUAAUUAAAGGGAAUGAACUAAAUUGUGAAGCAACUAGAUUUGAAGGAUUAAAUGGGAGAUUAAUCAAGGUCCUUAAAAUUUAAUAAAACCUUCACUGGUAUAUAAUUAGUGGACAAGUAUGAUCUUGCCAAUCAUUUCCCACUAACUAAUUCAAGGAUAUAUGAUCUUGCCCAUCGUAUGUAUAUGUAUUGUACUUUGAUGAAUUAUAAUGUUCGAAUAUAUAGGUAUAUACUUAUAUAGGCCUUUGCAUUUAGUUAAAGUAUGAAUGGUAUAUAAGUAUAUAUAUAAAUGUUAUUGAAUUUAGUUGAAGUAUAAAGGUUAUAUAUAUAUAUACAAGGUUCGAAUUCACACAUGUAUAUAUAUGUAUAAAUUAUUGGUUUAAUCAAAGGUACGUAUAUAUAUGUGUGCAUAAGGUUCGAAUAAAUACAUAGGUAUAUACAUGUAUAAACCUUUGGAUUGGAUUUAUAAUAUGUAUAUUAUACUUGUUUAAGUAGUUUCGAAUAAGCAUGCAAAUAUAUAUAUGUAUAUGCUUUUGUAUCGAAUUAAGAUAUGUCAUUAUAUAAGUAUAUGAGGUUCGAUUAUAUAUAUACAUGUAUAAGAUCUAGUUUUGAAAUUUAGUAAUGAAUUGAUAUAUGUAUAUGUUAGUUUCGAAUAUGUAUAUAUGUAUUAGUUUCGAAUAUGUAUAUAUGUACAUGUAUAAUUUCUUGUAAUGAAAUCAGGUAUGAAAUUAUAAUACAGUUUGAUUUUGUCAAGUAUGAGAAAAAACACCAGUUUCUAUUGACCUUGACUUCCAAGUUGAAUGUAAUAAAUGCUCCAAUAACAGAUUCAGACCCACACAACAUUUAUUUGUGUUUAUGUUUUAUAGAGCAUGUAAUUUGUAGGGUUGAAAAUUGAUUUAUGUUUUAUAGAGCAUGUAAUUUGCAGGGUUGAGAUCACAAGCUUAGUUUCUUCAUUUAAUCUUUUUUUUUUUUUUUGUGUUUGCUUUGUUUUAUUUCAGAAACAAGCUAUUUAGUGAGGCAGAAAAAACAGCAGGCCCAGACAGGUUGCUAUCACUAUCUCACACCCUUUUCCUUCAAAACAAUCAACCUUAGCGACUUUUCAUUUGAAUUUUGUGUGUUUUUUUAGUAUUACUUAAAUACAUGUGACAAGUUUGAUAGGCUAGCAUAGUUAAAUAACUAGUUUAUUAUCUCGUGCAAUAUAUGAGUUCAGUAUUAUACUAUUAUAUAAUAUGUAUUUAUUUUUAUAUGAAAAUGGUCGAAUAUCAUUUUAUCCCUCUAUUAUGCUUACAAGUUACAACUAAACUUUAAUCUUUAUAUCCUUUUACCAAAAUGAUUAAAUUUUAGUUUCUAUACUUUAUUUUUUAACAUAAAUUGGUGCUUAUAUUUUUAUAAUGUUAUUAACUAAAUAAUUAAUAUUGUUAAUUUUUUUAUUAAAACAUUAAUUUUUAAUGUAAUAUACUGUUUUAAUAUACUGUUAUAAAAUUUGUAAUAUUUUGUUUUAAUAUACUGUUAUAAAUAUAUUGUUUUAAUAUAAUGUUUUAAUAUACUGUUUUAAUAUAUUGUUAUAAAUACUACACCUUAAUUUUUGAUAUAAUAUACUGUUUUAAUAUACUAUUAUAAAAUUUGUAAUAUACUGUUAUAACUUAUAAAUACUACACCUUAAUUAUUAUUGUAAUAUACUGUUUUAAUAUAUUGUUAUAAAAUUUGUAAUAUAAUGUUAUAAAUAUAAUAUUUUAAAAACGGGCCGGGCCGGGCCCGAGUUUUGUAUUUUUCUCGGGCCAGGCUUGGACAAAAUUCUAGGCCCAUAUUUUGGGCUGGGUCAGGCUCGGGCCUAGAAAGUAGGCUGAAGUUUUUUGGGCCCGGCCCGGUCCAUGAGCACCUCUAGUCCAAGCUGACUUGUGAAAUAAUUUAUUAUUUUGAAAUAUUCUUAAAAAAAAAAGAUUAAGAAACCAACAAGGAGUCACCCACUCUUCAAGAAAAAUUAUUGGUGAUCGGUAGAGUUUAAAAAAUGAAAAGCACCAACAUCUAUUCAUCACAGUUUGUGGAGUUUUAGCAAUGAUAAGCACAUGGAGUGACUGAGAAAAAAAAGAGAGGAGAAAGUUGAUGUGAGGGAGAAAAAGACAACGGUAAUCAACUCGAAAGUUAGUAUCGUCAUUGAGCAAAAGUAAAUGGUUUGAAAAAAAAAAAAACUUUAAAGUUAAUUCGAAGAAUUUAUUUCUCAAAUGAUAUAGGACAUAUUUUAUAAUUUAUAAUACAUUUUAUUUAUAAUGACGUAUGGAUUUUGUCAAUUAUUUAUCUAUUGUGUUUUAUAUUAAUUUGAUUCAGUGUUAUAAUUGAUUGAAUAUAUAUUGUAUGAAUAAAAUUCCUGUAUUAUUAUCAGCUAAACUUCAAAAAAAAAAAUGAAUGUAACUGAUAUUAUUUUAUUUGUUACAGUGACAUCACAAAAUCUCAUCUGAUUCGCUUCCACUGAUAAUCACAUCCCACCUGCACACAUCACGUGCUUCCAUUCUUUCCUUCUUUGUAUUCAAAAAUUUUCAAUCCCCAGACCUACCUUUCCUUCCCUUUUAUUUAUUUAUUAGGUAAUCUAUUAAAAUAGUUGAUUCAUAUUUAAAGGUGAUUAUGGGCCGGGCCGGAUUGGGUUUGGGCCAGGCUCAAACAAAAGUUUAUGUCCAUUUUCUAGGCCCAGGCCUGGCCUGGCUUAAAAUAUGGGCUUAAAAAUUUAUCCAAGUCCG